AAUAUCUGGGUUCUGGGAUAUUAUUGAUCAUCUGAGUUCAUGUGGUUCAUGAAGUAUAAUAAUAUUCUGGUAAAAACAGAAAGUGCGUCUUGAGUUCGCUUUAUUGAUCAUAUGAACUCUUGCCAUUGGCAAACAACAGUUUGUGUAAUUGACAUACUGAAGUUUAGGAACCAUGAGAAAGUGCUGUUUGGUGUUUACAAAUAUCAUACUCAUAGAGCUCGGGGACGCGGCAGCAAUAAGUGGAAUCUAAUGUGUUUUGGCAUAAAUGUUGCAGAUAUAUUCAAGGAUACCUGAU
rnacentral:misc_RNA from 1 species